GCAACGAGCGCAACCCUUAUCAUUACGUUGCUACGCAAGGGCACUCUAAUGAGACUGCCGGUGACAACCGGAGGAAGGUGGGGAUGACGUCAAGUCCUCAUGGCCCUUAUGGGUAGGGCUUCACACGUCAUACAAUGGUCGGUACAGAGGGUUGCCAAGCCGCGAGGCGGAGCCAAUCCCACAAAGCCGAUCGUAGUCCGGAUUGUUCUCUGCAACUCGAGAGCAUGAAGUCGGAAUCGCUAGUAAUCGCGGAUCAGCAUGUCGCGGUGAAUACGGUUCCCGGGUCUU
rnacentral:rRNA from 1 species